GUCUACGGCCAUACCACCCUGAACACGCCUGAUCUCCUCUGAUCUCGGAAGCUAAGCAGGGUCGGGCCUGGUUAGUACUUGGAUGGGAGGAAAUGUCUACCUCUGUCUACU
ensembl:rRNA 5S_rRNA 5S ribosomal RNA